GCCUUCGUGGUGUAGUGGUCAGUACGCUUGACGCGUAACCGAGAGGUCCGUGGUUCGAUUCCCGGCGAAGGCG
rnacentral:tRNA from 1 species